UGACACCUAGUAAAUGAUAGGUAAGU
rnacentral:piRNA from 1 species